AUGAAAUUUAUGACUGGAGUUGUAGCUGGCCUUUAAAAACGGCAUGUGCACGCUCCUUUCACUAAUCCACACACACCUGUGCACCUUCGCGGGGGUCUCUUCGUUAACUCGAAGAGGCUCGCGUCCCUUUACACACCCUUUGUAUGUCUUAAGAAUGUCUACUCGAUGUAAUAAAACGCAUCUAAUACAACUUUCAACAACGGAUCUCUUGGCUCUCGCAUCGAUGAAGAACGCAGCGAAAUGCGAUAAGUAAUGUGAAUUGCAGAAUUCAGUGAAUCAUCGAAUCUUUGAACGCACCUUGCGCCCUUUGGUAUUCCGAAGGGCACACCUGUUUGAGUGUCGUGAAAUUCUCAACCCUCUUCACUUUUGUGGACGUAGUGGAUUGGACUUGGAGGCUUUGCCGGGCUUCACCGCUCGGCUCCUCUCAAAUGCAUUAGUGCGUCUUGUUGCGACGUGCGCCUCGGUGUGAUAAUUAUCUACGCUGUGGUGUGCUUGCUUCUGUGGAGACGCGCUUUCUAACCGUCCGAAAGGACAGCUUUCAUCGAACUUUGACCUCAAAUCAGG
rnacentral:rRNA from 1 species